GCCUUCGUGGUGUAGUGGUUUAAAUGCUCGACGCGUAACCGAGAGUUCCGUGGUUCGAUUCCCGGCGAAGGCG
rfam:Stegodyphus mimosarum contig92680, whole genome shotgun sequence.